GUCUAUGGCCCUGCCACCCUGAACAAGCCCGAUCCCGUCUGAUCUUGGAAGCUAAGCAGGGUCGGGCCUGGUUAGUACUUGGAUGGGAGACAACCUAGGAAGACCAGGUGCUGCUGGCG
rnacentral:rRNA from 1 species